UACGGAGGGGGGCUAGCGUUGUUCGGAAUUACUGGGCGUAAAGCGCACGUAGGCGGCUUUGUAAGUUAGAGGUGAAAGCCCCAGGGGCUUAACCCCUGGAAUUGCCCUUUUAAGACUGCAUCGCUAGAAUCGUGGAGAGGUGAGUGGAAUUCCGAGUGUAGAGGUGAAAAUUCGUAGAUAUUCGGAAGAAACACCCAGUGGCGAAGGGCGACUCACUGGACACGUAUUGACGCUGAGGUGCGAAAGCGUGGGGAGCAAACAGG
rnacentral:rRNA from 1 species